rnacentral:rRNA from 1 species
CAACCAGUAUGGGACAAAAAGCCUGACCCUGUUCCUGAUCCAGUACAACCCUUGUUACAGGAGUUUGCAGAUAUCUUCAAAGAACCUACUGAGCUACCACCCUCUCGAACUUUGAACCAUGCAAUACACUUGUUACCAGGGGCCUCUCCUGUCAACUCCAAACCUUACAGAUACUCACCACUGCAAAAAGAUGAGAUUGAAAGGCAAGUUGCAGAAAUGCUUAAAGCUGGUACUAUCACUCCCAGUCUCAACUCUUUUGCUUCUCCUGUCCUAUUGGUAAAAAAGAAAGAUGGAUCUUGGAGAUUUUGCGUAGAUUAUAGGAAGCUAAAUUCCAUCACUUUGAAGAGCAAGUUCCCAAUGCCAGUGGUGAUGAGCUUUUGGAUGAGCUUAGUGGCACUAAGUGGUUCUCCAAGUUAG